AACACGGCCCAGUCCAUCACGCAAACCAGCCUUCUAUCCAUUGACUCCGUGUAUACUUCCCGCUGCCUUGAAAAAGCAACCAUCAUAAUCAAAAACUCAUCCCACACCGGUUAUACCCUCUUCCACCCUCUUCCAUCGGGCAGAAGAUAUAAAAGUUUGAAUACAGAGCCUCAGCAACUAUUCACCUGAGGAUUAGUUAGAAUCGAUACAAGUCUUCAAUGUAUGAAAAAGACUCCAGUACUGAACUCUUACUUCAUACAGGGUAAACAGCUGAGUGGGUCAGAAGAGGCCACGUUUCAAUACCUAUCUGAGACACAGCGUCUAUGGAGUACUCCCUCAUUUUCGCACUGAGGCUUCAACGUAGAUUUGAUGCUCAAAUCAUUGGACUGAGACAUCCAGACAUUCUAAUCUAGGAGUUAGAAACAAUAAGCCAGAGCUGAAACGAACUAUGACUGCACCUGAAGAAAGUGAGACUUCACUGAUUUGUUU